rnacentral:rRNA from 1 species
ACGAUGGAUAGGGGUUCUGAGAGGAAGGUCCCCCACAUUGGAACUGAGACACGGUCCAAACUCCUACGGGAGGCAGCAGUGAGGAAUAUUGGUCAAUGGACGGGAGUCUGAACCAGCCAAGUAGCGUGAAGGAUGAAGGUUCUAUGGAUUGUAAACUUCUUUUAUAAGGGAAUAAAGUGCUUUACGUGUAGAGUUUUGUAUGUACCUUAUGA